rnacentral:rRNA from 1 species
GAUGAAGCCCUUCGGGGUGGAUUAGUGGCGAACGGGUGAGUAACACGUGGGCAAUCUGCCCUUCACUCUGGGACAAGCCCUGGAAACGGGGUCUAAUACCGGAUAACACUUCCGUCCUCCUGGACGGUGGUUAAAAGCUCCGGCGGUGAAGGAUGAGCCCGCGGCCUAUCAGCUUGUUGGUGAGGUAAUGGCUCACCAAGGCGACGACGGGUAGCCGGCCUGAGAGGGCGACCGGCCACACUGGGACUGAGACACGGCCCAGACUCCUACGGGAGGCAGCAGUGGGGAAUAUUGCACAAUGGGCGAAAGCCUGAUGCAGCGACGCCGCGUGAGGGAUGACGGCCUUCGGGUUGUAAACCUCUUUCAGCAGGGAAGAAGCGAAAGUGACGGUACCUGCAGAAGAAGCGCCGGCUAACUACGUGCCAGCAGCCGCGGUAAUACGUAGGGCGCAAGCGUUGUCCGGAAUUAUUGGGCGUAAAGAGCUCGUAGGCGGCUUGUCACGUCGGUUGUGAAAGCCCGGGGCUUAACCCCGGGUCUGCAGUCGAUACGGGCAGGCUAGAGUGUGGUAGGGGAGAUCGGAAUUCCUGGUGUAGCGGUGAAAUGCGCAGAUAUCAGGAGGAACACCGGUGGCGAAGGCGGAUCUCUGGGCCAUUACUGACGCUGAGGAGCGAAAGCGUGGGGAGCGAACAGGAUUAGAUACCCUGGUAGUCCACGCCGUAAACGGUGGGAACUAGGUGUUGGCGACAUUCCACGUCGUCGGUGCCGCAGCUAACGCAUUAAGUUCCCCGCCUGGGGAGUACGGCCGCAAGGCUAAAACUCAA